rnacentral:rRNA from 1 species
CCUACGGGAGACAGCAGUGGGGAAUAUUGGGCAAUGGGCGCAAGCCUGACCCAGCAACGCCGCGUGAAGGAAGAAGGCUUUCGGGUCGUAAACUUCUUUUCUCAGGGACGAAGAAAGUGACGGUACCUGAGGAAUAAGCCACGGCUAACUACGUGCCAGCAGCCGCGGUAAUACGUAGGUGGCAAGCGUUAUCCGGAUUUAUUGGGUGUAAGGGGCGUGUAGGCGGGAGCGCAAGUCAGAUGUGAAAACUCAGGGCUUAACCCCGGGCCUGCAUUUGAAACUGUGUUUCUUGAGUGCUGGAGAGGCAAUCGGAAUUCCGUGUGUAGCGGUGAAAUGCGUAGAUAUACGGAGGAACACCAGUGGCGAAGGCGGAUUGCUGGACAGUAACUGACGCUGAGGCGCGAAAGCGUGGGGAGCAAACAGGAUUAGAUACCCCGGUAGUC